GACGAACGCUGGCGGCGUGCUUAACACAUGCAAGUCGAGCGGUAAGGCCCUUUCGGGGGUACACGAGCGGCGAACGGGUGAGUAACACGUGGGUGACCUGCCCUUAGCUCUGGGAUAAGCCUGGGAAACUGGGUCUAAUACCGGAUAUGACUCCAUGACGCAUGUUGUGGGGUGGAAAGCCUUGUGCGGCUAGGGAUGGGCCCGCGGCCUAUCAGCUUGUUGGUGGGGUGAUGGCCUACCAAGGCGACGACGGGUAGCCGGCCUGAGAGGGCGACCGGCCACACUGGGACUGAGACACGGCCCAGACUCCUACGGGAGGCAGCAGUGGGGAAUCUUGCGCAAUGGGCGAAAGCCUGACGCAGCGACGCCGCUUGGGGAUGACGGCCU
rnacentral:rRNA from 1 species